AUGCUUGCUUCAGCAGCACAUACAGUAUACUAAAAUUGGGACAAAAAGAUUAGCAUAUCCCUGGGCAAGGAUGUCACACAAAUUUGUGAGGCAUCCUAUAUUUUU
ensembl:snRNA U6 U6 spliceosomal RNA